GGGCAGCGGGCCCCAGGCGUCGGCGCGGGCGGACGGACGGCCUGACGGGCGGGUCCCCCGAAGUUCUGGGCAGCCGUGUUCACCUGGCUGGUAUGGCCGUCGGUAAAGGGAUCUUCCUGAUCCAGGGAUCGAACCCAGGUCUCCCGCAUCGCUGGCGGAUUCUUUAUCGUCUGAGCCACCACGGAAAGCCAAAUUGCACUGGCCAGGUCUUUCUAGCACAGUGCUGAAUGGAAGCAGUGAGAGUGGGCACCCUGUCUUAUUCCUGGUCGCAGUGGGAAAGCUUUGAACAUCUCACCAUAAGAUAAUCCUGGCCUCGUAAAAUGAACUGGAGUGUUCGGCUCUUCAGUUUUUUCAACUACCCAACAAAUUGAACUUGACUCUGAAAUCUACCUGAAACAAACUGCCUGGAGUACUUUGAGAAGCAAGUGGACUUAGUUUGGCACCUAAGAAAUUUGAAGUAGUAAUAAUAACAUGAUAAGUAGAUAAAUGGUUACUGGGUACAUGGUUUGGCAUCUAAGAAAAUUGAAAUAAUAUGAUAACAGAAAUAAUAAUUUGUUCAGUUGCUAAGUUGUGUUCGACUCUUUGCAACCGCACAGACCAGUAGCCCACCAGAUGUGUCCAUGGGAUUCUCCAGGCAAGAUUACUGGAGUGGGUUGCAUAUCUUCUAGGAGAUUUUCCUGACCCAGGGAUCAAAGCUGCAUCUCCUGCUUCCCCUGCAUUGCAGGCAAAUUUUUCACUGCUGAGCCACUGGGGAAGCCCAUAUAAUAGCUUAUAAUAAGUAAAUAAAUGGUUACUAGCUAUAAGCUAGAACUGCAGUAACACCUAUCCGCCUCAUCUCAUGAAUUUCUCAAGAAACACUCAAUAACCCAAGAAAAUGAGCACAGGCCCACACAGAUGAGACAGUGUGAGGACAAGCAGGAAGCUGACUGGGGUGAGUGGAUGUUGUUGUUCAGUCGCUAAGUCAUGUCCACCUCUUUGUGACCCUGUGAACUGCAGCACGCCAGGCUUCCCUGUCCUUCACCAACUCCCAGGGUCACUUUCAGGACUGGCGUGCUGCAGCUUGUGAGGUGAGGGGAUGGGGGUUUGGUAAACCAAACUGCUGCCAAGAGCAUGAUUGCAGAAAACACAAGCAGCUGAUGUGAAGGAGUGACAGUAUUCAAGCACCGCUCAAGUAGGGAAGCAAGUGGUGCGUGGCGGGCUGGUGUCUUGGAUAAUACGGGAAGCGUGGCUCGCUGGGGAUGUGGGUGGGUGAGCGGCAGCUGGGAUGGAGUGGAGUGGCGUCACUGCAGAAGGCCAAAUAAUUGCCUAAGAACUUCCGGCGCUUUCCUCCGAGUCCUCAGAGUGCUGACGGAAACAAGAAGUAUCAGGCCACGUGAGCCCAGGAAGAUUGCCUUGCCUUUCUGGCUCUCAGACCAAACAAGGAGAAGGCCGAACUGUCUGAGGUCCCGAGCAGUAUUAACUCUCUGACUGCACUGUGCUUCAGCCAUAAACCAUCAGACUGUUUUUUCAGGGAGAGGUGCCUGAGCAUGAUUGCAGAAAACACCUCCAGGGGCCAGGGGGCAGGGUGGCCAGUGACCACAGGUGUGAGCGUUACUCUGGGCUGUAAGCAAAAUGAAAAUGGGCUGGUGAUUCACUAGCACAUUCAGUGACCCGCCCCUCUCUGGGGAGACCAGGAGCACCCUACCCCAUUUGCCGAGGCCUAGACAGCCAGCCCCUGGCCUGUGCCUCUGUGUGUGUGAUCUUUCCACAGCUUUUUUCUCUUCUGUAUUGUGGCAAGAUACAUACCUUGUUCAUUUUCACGCUGUAAACAGUUCUGCUAUGUGACCAUAUUACAAUUUUCUUAUCUCUUCUGCAGUUGGUAAAAUGUAGGCUAUCUCUGCAUAUAUUUUUGUUGUUAUUACAAAUAAUAUGGCUCUGAACACCCUUAUACAUGUGUAUAUAUUAAUAUGCUGGGUUGUAGGAGUGGAGUUACUGAGAUUUAAAAUGAUUUUCCAACGUGAUGGCAAUAAUUUACAUUCUUACCAGCAGUGGGUGAAAAUACCCUUAUCACCAGACUUCUUAAUUUUUGUCAACCUGUGGGGUCUUAUUUGAGUUUUUUAAUUUCUAGUGAGGUUGAACUUUUCAUUUGUUUUUCCUCUUCACUGAUUUGCCUAUUCAUAUUUUUGCCAAUUUUAAACAUUAGGUUUAUAUUUUUUACUAUGAAAUCUAUAGUAACUGUAUCCUGAACACUAAUAUUAUAUGGAUAAAUGUUCAUUCUGUGGCCUAUUUGGUUUGUCUUUUGAGAAAUUCAAGUGUUCAUUUUAACAUAAUUAUGUGGACCAGCCUUUUCCUCUUUCCCAAGGAGAAUGCACGCUGUCCAUCGCGAUUCUAAUCCUCUUAAAGACCUCCCCCAGCCCAAGCCUGGAUCCCCACCUCGUGGUGAGGGGACCUGGGCAUCCAUCCGUGUUCUGGGCCCUCCAGUUGCCUUCCCUCUGCCGGAUUCAGCCUGUCCCCCAGCCCUGCCUGCACCGAUCACCUCGAUACUGUCUGGGCUUCUCCCCUACUAGAUUUUAGAUGUUUGAAUCCGUUCUCCAUCCAGGUCAGUACAUCCAGGAGAACUGUGUGCACUUGGAGAGGAGAGAAGGAAGAGAACCAAAUGGAGAAAAUGCAGGAGACAGAGUUGAGGAGGAGGCGCGCCACCUGGUGGCCUAUCAGGCUGCCUGCACUGCACGCGGAGCCGCGACAACCCGGCCAUCUAGGAUCCAGGCCCGACCUCCAGCGCGGAGCACAUUGGCACAUACAGGCCGCUUGACGAUACCAGUACUCAUUAAGCAACGAGUCUGAGGGUUUCUUUUAAUUAGUAGGUUUUUUGUUUUGUUUUGUUUUUACAGUUUUUCAUUUUCAGAAAAAUUGAGCAGCUGAUACAGGGAGCUCCCGUGCCCUUGCCCCAAUAUACACAGUUUUUCCUAUUAACACUUUCAUUAGUGUUACCUGUUGGAAUUAAUGAACUGAUACUGACACAGUACUAUUAGCCAAAUUUCAUACUUUAAGGCCCAUUUUUGUACAGUUCUGUGGGUUUUGACAAAUGCUUGUAAUGAAUCCACCAUUAUAAUAUCAGAGGACAGUUUCACUGCUUUUGAAUCUCUUGGUGUUCUCCAUGAUCACCCUUCUCUCCCUACCCCCGAAUCUCUGGCAGUCACUGAUCUUUUACUGUCUGUCACCUUUUCCAAAAUGUCACAUAGAACCAUACAGUAUGUGUCCUGUUUCGGAUUGGCUUCUGUUCAGUUCAGUCACUCAGUCAUGUCCGACUCUGCAACCCCAUGAAUCGCAGCACGCCAGGCCUCUCCGUCCAUCACCAACUCCCAGAGUUUGCCCAAACUCAUGUCCAUCGAGUCGGUGAUGCCAUCCAGCCAUCUCAUCCUCUGUCGUCCCCUUCUCCUCCUGCCCCCAAUCCCUCCCAGCAUCAGGGUCUUUUCCAAUGAGUCAGCUCUUCGCAUGAGGUGGCCAAAGUACUGGAGUUUCAGCUUCAGCAUCAGUCCUUCCAAUGAACACCCAGGGCUGAUCUCCUUUAGGAUGGACUGGUUGGAUCUCCAUGCAGUCCAAGGGACUCUCAAGAGUCUUCUCUAACACCACAGUACAAAAGCAUCAAUUCUUCGGCACUCAGCCUUCUUCACAGUCCAACUCUCACAUCCAUACAUGACCACUGGAAAUACCAUAGCCCUGACUAGACGGACCUUUGUUGGCCAAGUAAUGUCUCUGCUUUUCAAUAUGCUAUCUAGGUUGGUCAUAACUUUCCUUCCAAGGAGUAAGCGCCUUUUAAUUUCAUGGCUGCAGUCACCAUCUGCAGUGAUUUUGGAGCCCCAAAAAAUAAAGCCUGACACUGUUUCCACCAUUCCCCCAUCUAUUUCCCAUGAAGUGAUAGGACCAGAUGCCAUGAUCUUAGUUUUCUGAAUGUUGAGCUUUAAGCCAACUUUUUCACUCUCCACUUUCACUUUCAUCAAGAGGCUUUUGAGUUCCUCUUCACUUUCUGCCAUAA
ensembl:lncRNA